rnacentral:rRNA from 1 species
CCAAUCGAACGUGGAGAUAGCUGGUUCUCCCCGAAAUAGCUUUAGGGCUAGCCUCGAGGUAGAGAUUGCAGGCGGUAGAGCACUGAUCAGGAGAGGGGCCUACCCGGCUACCAAACCCAGUCAAACUACGAAUGGCUGCAAUUAUACUCGGGAGUCAGACUACGACUUAUAAGGGCCGUGGUCAAAAGGGAAACAGCCCAGAUCAUCAGCUAAGGUCCCAAAUGCCGUGCUAAGUGGCGAAGGAUGUGGCGUUUCAUAAACAACCAGGAUGUUGGCUCAGAAGCAGCCACCAUUUAAAGAGUGCGUAAUAGCUCACUGGUCGAGAGACGCUGCGCCGAAAAUGUCCGGGGCUCAAGCACGGAACCGAAGCUAUGGCAUGAUAGCAAUAUCAUGGGUAGGGGAGCGUUCUUAACAGGAAGAAGCAUGACCGAAAGGACAUGUGGACCGUUAAGAAGUGAGAAUGCCGGUAUGAGUAUCGAAAAGAAAGGUGAGAAUCCUUUCCACCGAAAGCCCGAGGGUUCCUGAGCAACGAUCGUCGUCUCAGGGUAAGUCGGGACCUAAGCCGAGGCGGAGACGCAUAGGCGAUGGACAACAGGUUGAAAUUCCUGUACCGGAUACAAUCGUUUGAGCGAUGGAGCGACGCAGAAAGGCAUAUGAUCGCGCGACUGGAAGAGCGCGUCCAAGUGCGUAUGUUGAAUCGGAGGCAAAUCCCUGAUUCUGAAAGCAGAGACACGAUGGGGAGUUAUACGAAAGUAUGACGAACUCAUAGAUCCUACACUGCCAAGAAAAACUUCUAGUGAGAAAGUAUCCGCCCGUACCGUAAACCGACACAGGUAGGCGGGGAGAGAAUCCUAAGGUGCGCGGGAAAACCCUCGUUAAGGAACUCGGCAAAUUGCAUCCGUAACUUAGGGAGAAGGAUGACCUUAAGUAAGCGAAAGGGAGAAACCCCUGGAACAGAACAAGGUGGCAGAAAAGAGGCCCAAGCAACUGUUUACCAAAAACACAGGUGCCUGCGAAAGCGAAAGCUGAAGUAUAGGUGCUGACGCCUGCCCGGUGCUGGAAGGUUAAGGAGAGAUGUCAGAGCAAUCGAAGCAUUGAACUGAAGCCCCAGUGAACGGCGGCCGUAACUAUAACGGUCCUAAGGUAGCGAAAUUCCUUGUCGGGUAAGUUCCGACCCGCAUGAAAGGCGUAAUGAUUUGGGCACUGUCUCAACGAGGGGCCCGGUGAAAUUGAAAUACCUGUGAAGAUGCAGGUUACCCGCGACUGGACAGAAAGACCCCAUGGAGCUUCACUGCAGCUUGAGAUUGAAUCUCGGUGAUGCAUGCACAGGAUAGGUGGGAGACUAAGAAGUAUGGGCUUUGGCUUAUACCGAGUCGAUGUUGGGAUACCACCCUUGUAUUGCUGAGAUUCUAACACGGAGGCUAACAACCUCGUGGACCAUCUCAGGUAGGCGGUUUGACUGGGGCGGUCGCCUCCGAAAGAGUAACGGAGGCGCCCAAAGGUUCCCUCAGGUCGGACAGAAACCGACCGAAGAGUGCAAAGGCAGAAGGGAGCUUGACUGCGAGACAGACAAGUCGAGCAGAGACGAAAGUCGGGCUUAGUGAUCCGGUGGUACUGAGUGGAAAGGCCAUCGCUCAACGGAUAAAAGCUACCCUGGGGAUAACAGGCUAAUCUCUCCCAAGAGUUCAUAUCGACGGGGAGGUUUGGCACCUCGAUGUCGGCUCAUCACAUCCUGGAGCUGGAGUAGGUUCCAAGGGUUGGGCUGUUCGCCCAUUAAAGUGGUACGCGAGCUGGGUUCAAAACGUCGUGAGACAGUUUGGUUCAUAUCCAUCGCGGGCGCAAGAAGUUUGAGGGAGGCUGCUCCUAGUACGAGAGGACCGGAGUGGACGGAUCAACGGUGUACCAGUUGUCACGCCAGUGGCACGGCUGGAAAGCCGCAUCCGGAAAGGAUAAACGCUGAAAGCAUCUAAGCGUGAAGCCCGUCCCGAGAUGAGACUUCUCAUCAGCAAUGAGUAAGACCCCUUAAAGACGAUGAGGUUGAUAGGCUGUGAGUGGAAGGCCCGUAAGGGUUGGAGCGACGCAGUACUAAUAGGUCGAGGUCUUAACUUG